UGCGAGUCCAGAGCUUUCGGAGCUCGGCGUACCGCUCAGUAACACGUGGGUAACCUAACCUAUGCAGGGGAAUAACCUCGGGAAACUGAGUAUAAUGCCCCAUAGUCCACUACGCCUGGAACGGUGAGUGGAUCAAAGCUCAGGCGGCAUAGGAUGGGCCUGCGGCGUAUCAGGUUGUAGGGGGUGUAAAGUACCCUCUAGCCAUCUACGCGUACGGGUGUUGGGAGACAUAGCCCGGAGAUGGAUUCUGAGACACGAAUCCAGACCCUACGGGGUGCAGCAGGCGCGAAAACUUGACAAUGCGAGCAAUCGUGAUCAGGGAACUCCAAGUGGCUGGGGUAAGACCCAGUCUUUUCAUAACUCUUCAAAGGUUGUAGAAUAAGGGGUGGGUAAGGACGGUGCCAGCCGCCGCGGUAAUACCGGCGCCUC
rnacentral:rRNA from 1 species